ACGCUCGACACCUACGGGGCAGCAGUGGGGAAUAUUGCACAAUGGGGGAAACCCUGGAUGCAACGACGCCGCGUGAGGAAGAAGUAUCUCGGUAUGUAAACUUCUAUCAGCAGGGAAGAAAGUGACGGUACCUGACUAAGAAGCCCCGGCUAACUACGUGCCAACAGCCGCGGUAAUCUGAGCGGGCUGGCAAGGC
rnacentral:rRNA from 1 species